rnacentral:hammerhead_ribozyme from 1 species
AUCCGGCUGACGAGUCACAAAUAGGACGAAACGUGCGUCCUGGAU